GGGGGUAUAGCUCAGUGGUAGAGCAUGUGCUUAGCAUGCUUGAGGUCCUGCAUUCAAUCCCUAAUACCUCCA
rnacentral:tRNA from 1 species